rnacentral:tRNA from 1 species
GCCUGGAUGGCUCAGUCGGUUGAGCGUCUGACUUCAGCUCAGAUCAUGAUCUCAUGGUUUGUGGGUUUGAGCCCUGUGUCGGGCU